GAAAAGAAAAAAAAAAAAAAAAAAAAAAAAAAAAAUAGUCAUAGAAAGCAAAUCAUCACAAACCACCUUUGAUUAACAUUUCAUUUAAACUUUUAAAGUAUCAAUAUUUUAAAUAUCUUCCAUUGACUCAAAAUAACUAGACAUGGAUCUGUUUCUUACAUUAUGAGAGGAGACAGAACUUGGACCACGAUGUUCAAAAACAGAGAUGGAAUUGAGCCUGUGGGUGAGGGGCAUGAUGCUCCCAAGUGACCGGUCAGAAACCAUACCCUCAGAGGUGCGCUGGUCCGCCUCUGGGAGUUUGUGUGUCUAUUUCAGGUAAGGCUGAAUUCAUUUCUACUUGCCAGUCCAGUGAAGAAAUGCCUUUCUUCUCUUUUUCCAUUAGGUAGUUGAGGACAGUUCCGCUCAGCAAAUACUUGCUGAGCACCUGCUUUGGGCAGGUUCUGUGCUAGAUGCACAAAGACAAGCAACACUUGGUUUCUGCUCUCAGGAGCUGAGAGCCUGUGGGUGGUAAGGUGAGACAGUUCUUUAAGAUACAGUUCCAAAUUUGCUAGAACUGGCUUAACUGUGCCAUGCUGAUUCAGAGAUCAGUUUGCAGAGAUAUUGCAAAUUCAAUGAAGUUAUUCAUUGAGGGAGCUGUGAUUAAGCUAGAAAAUAAGAGAACACAGUUACCAUUUGCAAGCACGGUGGAAGGCAAACAGCCAUCCCCAAGUGCUGGUUCUAUGUAUGUACACUAUCCUAUCCAUAAAUGUGAGGAAAUACAUGUUAACAAAAUUAAAAACAAAAAAUGGCAAUUUGACUAUAAGAAACUUUUCUUGUGUUUUUUUUCUAAUUUUAAGAAAAUUCACGAAGAAGCUUCUUAAUAAAUGUUGGACUGUUCUUUUUCUUCUCAAAACAAUGAUUGCACUUGCCACUUAGUUGGGAUUGUUUUUGAGUUUUCAUAUAUACGAAAAGUUUUAUAUCGUCAGCUUUCCUGUUACAAAGACACUAAGUGUAACUUGAGUGAAAAAUAC
rnacentral:lncRNA from 1 species